rnacentral:tRNA from 1 species
AUUUAAAUAGCUUAUAGCGUAAAGCAUAAUAUUGAAGAUAUUAGGAAAAUUAUAUUAAUUUUUAAAUA